rnacentral:tRNA from 1 species
GGAGGUGCUGUAGUUCAGUGGCAGGGCAUCUGCUUACCAUGCAGAAGGUACCAGGUUCGAUCCCCGGCAUCUCCA